UGGGGAAUUUUGGACAAUGGGCGAAAGCCUGAUCCAGCCAUGCCGCGUGAGUGAAGAAGGCCUUCGGGUUGUAAAGCUCUUUUAGUCGGAAAGAAAGAGUUGCAAUGAAUAAUUGUGAUUUAUGACGGUACCGACAGAAAAAGCACCGGCUAACUACGUGCCAGCAGCCGCGGUAAUACGUAGGGUGCGAGCGUUAAUCGGAAUUACUGGGCGUAAAGGGUGCGCAGGCGGUCUUGCAAGUCAGAUGUGAAAGCCCCGGGCUUAACCUGGGAACUGCAUUCGUGACUGCAAGGCUAGAGUAUGGCAGAGGGGGGUAGAAUUCCACGUGUAGCAGUGAAAUGCGUAGAGAUGUGGAGGAAUACCGAUGGCGAAGGCAGCCCCCUGGGCCAAUACUGACGCUCAUGCACGAAAGCGUGGGGAGCAAACA
rnacentral:rRNA from 1 species